GAACAUAUGUGGAAAUGGAACUUUCCGUUUUCGUUAAUAUGGAAUUUCCCAUUUUUACUAUAGGCCUACGGCUGCUUUGUAGCUCAACCACCAAAUAACACACAAUGAAAUAAUGAGCAUAAUGGAUCAUUUGAGGCCCAACUUAUACUACCAUAUAUGUACUCAGCUAGACCCUAUACACAAUUGUCAUGUACUAAUACAAUACUAGGAUAUGUUGCUAACGUAAUCAAAUUAUUUUGUAGACAUGUU
rnacentral:lncRNA from 1 species